rnacentral:rRNA from 1 species
CCUACGGGUGGCUGCAGUGGGGAAUAUUGGGCAAUGGAGGAAACUCUGACCCAGCCAUGCCGCGUGAAUGAUGAAGGCCUUAGGGUUGUAAAGUUCUUUUGCAGGGGACGAUGAUGACGGUACCCUGAGAAUAAGCUCCGGCUAACUUCGUGCCAGCAGCCGCGGUAAUACGAAGGGAGCUAGCGUUGUUCGGAAUUACUGGGCGUAAAGCGUGCGCAGGCGGCUAUACAAGUCAGGGGUGAAAUGCCAAGGCUCAACCUUGGAACUGCCUUUGAAACUGUAUAGCUAGAGACUCGGAGGGGUUAGGGGAAUUCCUAAUGUAGCGGUGAAAUGCGUAGAUAUUAGGAGGAACACCAGUGGCGAAGGCGCCUAACUAGACGAGUACUGACGCUCAUGCACGAAAGCGUGGGGAUCAAACAGGAUUAGAUACCCUUGUAGUC